GGCUUGAUAGCACAAUGGUCAGUGCAUCUGCUCUACUUAUAGUCCGAUUGUCGAAGUAUGAAUGUUUCAGCAGAAGAUCCCCGUCCAAUUCGGGGUCCGGCCG